CGGAACACGUACAGAACCUUCCUUUAAGCGGGGGAUAGCCCAUAGAAAUGUGGAUUAAUACCCCAUAGCAAUAUUUGGUGGCAUCAUUAGAUAUUUAAAGAUUUAUCACUUAAAGAUGGCUGUGCGGCUGAUUAGGUAGUUGGUGAGGGUAACGGCCCACCAAGCCAUCGAUCAGUAACUGGUGUGAGAGCACGACCAGUCACACGGGCACUGAGACACGGGCCCG
rnacentral:rRNA from 1 species